GACGAACGCUGGCGGCGUGCUUAACACAUGCAAGUCGAACGGAAAGGCCCUGCUUUUGUGGGGUUCUCGUUUGCCGAACGCGUGUGUAACACGUGAGUAACCUGCCCUUGACUUUCUGAUAUCUUCAGGAAACUCGGGCUAUUACCCCAUAGGAUCUCCUGCUGCAUGUUGUUGGUUGGAAAGUUUCGGCGGUUGGGUCUGGACUCGCGGCUUAUCAGCUUGUUUGUGGGGUAGUGGCUUACCAAGGCUUUGACGGGUAGCCGACCUGAGAGGGUGACCGGCGACAUUGGGACUGAGAUACGGCGCAGAGUGCUACGGGAGGCAGCAGUGGGGAAUAUUGCAGAAUGGGCGGAAGCGUGAUGCAGCAACGCGGGGAGCGGGAUGACGGCCUUCGGGUUGAAAACAGCUUUGGACUGUGACGAAGAGUGAGUGACGGUAAUGGGUAAAGAAGCACCGGCUAACUACGUG
rnacentral:rRNA from 1 species